AAAAGUGUAGAUUAAUCUAAUAAUCUAAAAGGCAGAAAAGAAGAGUGAUAAAUAAAAUAAAAGAGAAAAAGAAGAGUAAUAUGAUAUGUAGUGUACAUUAAAAGUUGAUGAAAUCAAUGGUGAUACUGUGGAAACAAAAAGGACACAUUUUACAUUUGACAGUAGUAUAGAUAAAAUGAGAUAUUCAUAUGGCAGAUAUACCAUGUUAUGCUGUUUGUUAUUUUCCUCCUUCAAGUCAAAACAGAAAGUGAGACUAGAAUUAUCACUAUAUCUG
rnacentral:lncRNA from 1 species